rnacentral:rRNA from 1 species
AUGAACGCUGGCGGCGUGCCUAAUACAUGCAAGUCGAGCGAACAGACGAGGAGCUUGCUCCUCUGACGUUAGCGGCGGACGGGUGAGUAACACGUGGAUAACCUACCUAUAAGACUGGGAUAACUUCGGGAAACCGGAGCUAAUACCGGAUAAUAUAUUGAACCGCAUGGUUCAAUAGUGAAAGACGGUUUUGCUGUCCCUUAUAGAUGGAUCCGCGCCGCAUUAGCUAGUUGGUAAGGUAACGGCUUACCAAGGCGACGAUGCGUAGCCGACCUGAGAGGGUGAUCGGCCACACUGGAACUGAGACACGGUCCAGACUCCUACGGGAGGCAGCAGUAGGGAAUCUUCCGCAAUGGGCGAAAGCUUGACGGAGCAACGCCGCGUGAGUGAUGAAGGUCUUCGGAUCGUAAAACUCUGUUAUUAGGGAAGAACAAAUGUGUAAGUAACUAUGCACGUCUUGACGGUACCUAAUCAGAAAGCCACGGCUAACUACGUG